rnacentral:rRNA from 1 species
UACGGAGGGUGCAAGCAUUAAUCGGAUUCAUUGGGCGUAAAGAGCACGUAGGCGGGCGUGAAAGUCAGACGUGAAAUCCCGGAGCUCACCUCCGGAACUGCGUUUGAAACUUCAUGUCUAGAGGGUAGGCGGAGAAAACGGAAUUCCACAAGUAGCGGUGAAAUGCGUAGAUAUGUGGAAGAACGCCCGUGGCGAAAGCGGUUUUCUAGCUUACUCCUGACGCUGAGGAUGCGAAAGCAAGGGGAGCAAACAGG